rnacentral:snRNA from 1 species
AGGAAAUUUUGCUCUUUUAGUAUUUGUCCAGCAGGUCUUCAAGUAUUGAAGGCCACC